AUACGUAGGCAGCAAGCGUUGUUCGGAAUUACUGGGCGUAAAGGGUGCGUAGGCGGCGCUGUAAGUUUGGUGUGAAAUCUCCCGGCUUAACUGGGAGGGUGCACUGAAAACUGGAGCGCUCGAGUAUGGGAGAGGAAAGCGGAAUUCCUGGUGUAGCGGUGAAAUGCGUAGAGAUCAGGAGGAACACCUGCGGUGUAGACGGCUUUCUGGACCAUCACUGACGCUGAGGCACGAAAGCGUGGGUAGCAAACAGGAUUAGAUACCCUGGUAGUCCACGCCCUAAACGAUGCAUACUUGGUGUGGGUUCUUCACUGGAUCCGUGCCGGAGUUAACGCGUUAAGUAUGCCGCCUGGGGAGUACGGUCGCAAGGCUGAA
rnacentral:rRNA from 1 species